rnacentral:rRNA from 1 species
AGGGGGGGCCGGCUAAAUACAUGCAAGUCGUACGCUUCUUUUUCCACCGGAGCUUGCUCCACCGGAAAAAGAAGACUGUCGAACGGGUGAGUAACACGUGGGUAACCUGCCCAUCAGAAGGGGAUAACACUUGGAAACAGGUGCUAAUACCGUAUAACAAUCGAAACCGCAUGGUUUUGAUUUGAAAGGCGCUUUCGGGUGUCGCUGAUGGAUGGACCCGCGGUGCAUUAGCUAGUUGGUGAGGUAACGGCUCACCAAGGCCACGAUGCAUAGCCGACCUGAGAGGGUGAUCGGCCACAUUGGGACUGAGACACGGCCCAAACUCCUACGGGAGGCAGCAGUAGGGAAUCUUCGGCAAUGGACGAAAGUCUGACCGAGCAACGCCGCGUGAGUGAAGAAGGUUUUCGGAUCGUAAAACUCUGUUGUUAAGAGAAGAACCAAGGAUGAGAGUAACUGUUCAUCCCUUGACGGUAUCUAACCAGAAAGCCACGGCUAACUACGUGCCAGCAGCCGCGGUAAUACGUAGGUGGCAAGCGUUGUCCCGGAUUUAUUGGGCGUAAAGCGAGCGCAGGCGGUUUCUUAAGUCUGAUGUGAAAGCCCCCGGCUCAACCGGGGAGGGUCAUUGGAAACUGGGAGACUUGAGUGCAGAAGAGGAGAGUGGAAUUCCAUGUGUAGCGGUGAAAUGCGUAGAUAUAUGGAGGAACACCAGUGGCGAAGGCGGCUCUCUGGUCUGUAACUGACGCUGAGGCUCGAAAGCGUGGGGAGCAAACAGGAUUAGAUACCCUGGUAGUCCACGCCGUAAACGAUGAGUGCUAAGUGUUGGAGGGUUUCCGCCCUUCAGUGCUGCAGCUAACGCAUUAAGCACUCCGCCUGGGGAGUACGACCGCAAGGUUGAAACUCAAAGGAAUUGACGGGGGCCCGCACAAGCGGUGGAGCAUGUGGUUUAAUUCGAAGCAACGCGAAGAACCUUACCAGGUCUUGACAUCCUUUGACCACUCUAGAGAUAGAGCUUCCCCUUCGGGGGCAAAGUGACAGGUGGUGCAUGGUUGUCGUCAGCUCGUGUCGUGAGAUGUUGGGUUAAGUCCCGCAACGAGCGCAACCCUUAUUGUUAGUUGCCAUCAUUUAGUUGGGCACUCUAGCAAGACUGCCGGUGACAAACCGGAGGAAGGUGGGGAUGACGUCAAAUCAUCAUGCCCCUUAUGACCUGGGCUACACACGUGCUACAAUGGGAAGUACAACGAGUCGCGAAGUCGCGAGGCUAAGCUAAUCUCUUAAAGCUUCUCUCAGUUCGGAUUGUAGGCUGCAACUCGCCUACAUGAAGCCGGAAUCGCUAGUAAUCGCGGAUCAGCACGCCGCGGUGAAUACGUUCCCGGGCCUUGUACACACCGCCCGUCACA